rnacentral:rRNA from 1 species
GAACGGGUGAGUAACGUGGGCAAUCUGCCCUGCACUCUGGGACAACCCUGGAAACGGGUAAUACCGGAUAUGACUGUCCACCGGGUAUGGUGUAAAGUCCGGCGGUGCAGGAUGAGCCCGCGGCCUAUCAGCUAGUUGGUGAGGUAGUGGCUCACCAGGCGACGACGGGUAGCCGGCCUGAGAGGGCGACCGGCCACACUGGGACUGAGACACGGCCCAGACUCCUACGGGAGGCAGCAGUGGGGAAUAUUGCACAAUGGGCGAAAGCCUGAUGCAGCGACGCCGCGUGAGGGAUGACGGCCUUCGGGUUGUAAACCUCUUUCAGCAGGGAAGAAGGACGGUACCUGCAGAAGAAGCGCCGGCU